UCCCGGGACUGCUUGCAACUCACCAUAACGGCGUAGCUUGAUAGUUCAAGUAGAAAUGCUGCUCUCACCUUCGCCCCCAAGCACCGGCCGACUCAGGGGCUUGCCGACGGUCGCCGUCGUCUGGUGGCGUCGGACUGGCGGGACGCCGGCGCCGGCGAUUUUGGAGUUCAGGCCGACAGCUUCUUUAGCGUAAACAUCGAGACAUCAUGGACAUGGAUGUGCGAACCUGCGGGCACUUACUCCAGUCCUGCAGCACUCGGCUCGCCGUCCACGAGGGCAAGCAGCUCCAUCCUCUCCUCCUGAAAAAGGGUCUCUUGAACUGCGCCAUCACGCUCGGAAACCGUCUCCUUCAGCUCUACGCCAAGUGCGGCCAAAUGGAUAAUGCACGGCGAAUGUUUGAUGAUAUGCCUCUGAGGAAUUGCUUCACUUGGAACACGAUCGUUGAGGGCUAUGUGAGGACGGGAGAGGCGGCCAAGUCACUGGAGUUUUUUAGUCACAUGCCCUGCCGCAAUGAUUUCUCUUGGAACGUGGUGAUUUCGGGUUUUGCCAAGAGGGGUGAUCUUCAGACCGUUUCUUGUUUGUUUAAUGCCAUGCCCAGGAAGAAUGCAGUCGCGUGGAAUUCGAUGAUCCAUGGUUAUGCCAAGAAUGGGCGUCCCAGGGAAGCCCUUAGGUUGUUUAAGGACAUGAAUUCGGAUCCUUUCGAGAGAACGCAGGGUGAUACUUUUGUUUUGGCCACCGUCAUAGGUGCUUGUUCUGACCUGGAGGCUAUUGAUUGUGGCAAGCAGAUACAUGCGCGCCUUGUUAUUGACAGAGUGGCAUUUGAUUCGGUGUUGGCUAGUUCGUUGGUAAACUUGUAUGGAAAAUGCGGUGAUUUGGAUAGUGCAAAUCGAGUUUUGAGUAGCAUGGAGGAACCAGAUGACUUUUCUCUGUCGGCAUUGAUUUCUGGGUAUGCCAACUGUGGUAAAAUGGAUGAGGCAAGAAGGGUUUUCAGCAGUAGCAAUAACCCAUGUGUCGUUACAUGGAAUUCACUGAUUGCAGGCCAUGUAGCUAAUAACGAGGAAAUGGAAGCUUUAGUUUUGUUUAACAAGAUGCGUGAAGUAGCCGUCCGUGAGGACGCCUCUACAGUAGCCAGUAUUUUAAGUGCAUGCAACAGCUUAGGUGUCCUUGCACAGGGUAAGCUAAUGCAUGCCCAUGUUUGGAAGAGUGGUCUCCUUAAUGAAGUUAUUGUCGCAAGUGCUCUUGUUGACAUGUACUAUAAAUGUGGAAGUCUUAGGGAUGCUUGCAAUCUCUUUGAUGAGCUGGAAGUUCAUGACACAAUCUUACUCAAUUCUAUGAUCACGGUAUAUUCUAACUGCGGAAAGGUUGAUGACGCAAAAGAAAUUUUCCAGUCUAUGUCAAAGAAAAGCCUGAUAUCAUGGAAUUCAAUGCUAGUAGGUCUCAGUCAGAAUGGUUGUCCUCUUGAAGCUUUAGAUCUUUUCUGCGAGAUGAAUAGGCUUGGCUUGAUGAUGGAUAAGUUCAGCUUUGCUAGUGUUCUCAGUUCUUGUGCUAUUAUUUCCUCAUUUGAUCUGGGGGAACAAAUUUUUGGAAGAGCCAUUGUCAUUGGGCUUGAACAUGACCCUAUCAUUUCUACUUCCCUUGUUGAUUUCUUCUGCAAGUGUGGUCAUGUUGAAAAAGGGAGAAAAGUGUUUGAUGGAAUGGUGAAAAUAGACGAAGUUUCUUGGAAUACCAUGCUGAUGGGUUAUGCUACCAAUGGCCAUGGGAUGAAAGCAUUGAGUCUGUUUGAGGAGCUGAGGCAUGCUGGUUUGAGACCCACAGAUAUUACUUUCACAGCAGUCCUGUCUGCAUGUGAUCAUUGUGGAUUGGUUGAAGAGGGGUGGAAAUGGUUAUAUGCGAUGAAAUUGGAUUAUGACAUUGAUCCAAGGAUCGAACACUACUCUUGUGUUAUCGAUCUUUUUGCACGGGCUGGUUAUCUGAAUGAAGCCAUCGAUCUGAUAGAGCAAAUGCCUUUUGAUGCAGAUACAACAAUCUGGUCUUCUGUGUUGAGAGGCUGUGUGGCUCAUGGGAAUAGAACUCUUGGGAAGAAAGUAGCGGAGAAAAUUAUCAAGCUUGAUCCGGGGAAUUCAGGUGCUUAUGUACAGUUAUCUGGCAUACUUGCUGACUUUGGGGAUUGGGAAAGAUCAGCAGAAGUUAGGUAUAUGAUGAAGGAAAAACAAGUAGGGAAAGAUCCUGGUUGUAGUUGGGCUGACUGCUGAACGCUAAAUAUGAUUGCUGGAAGGCAGUGAAGAGGGCAUCUGGUAUACAUGAAGUUCAUCUCUACAAACAUUAUGCCUUGGAAAUAAAGGUAUAUAUGUCAAGAUUGGUAAAACAUAUUGGAGAGUUGGUAAUGCCUUUUCUGCCCUCGUUUUUCAAGAUCACUCUGUUGGUUAAGAUAUGCAUAUUAGAGGCAGAUUUUAGACAGUUAUAGAUCUCUCUCUUUCUGCUGCUUUUUUAUAGUAAGUGAGUGCUUGGUACCUCAAGACUCGAGUGUUUGUUGCAUAAACGUCCAUUAACUCCUAUUAUCAGGUUUAGGAAAUUUUCAGGAAACGGCUGGAUGAGAUGCCGGAUUAAGUAUGCAUGCAUAGUGUUGGUGCGCUGCGUUACUCUUCCUACCAGAAAUCUCGUGCACUCCUGAAUGAUCUGAUGUUGUGGGUAACUUAUUCGUUUUGUUGAGCUGGUAUCCGAUGUCUCUCUGACAAGAAUGUCACCGAUAUCUCAGCUUGCACACUCAUGCUUCAUUUUCCUUGUAUUGCAAAUUAGUGAAUACUCUAUGAUGUGACCAAUUGCGAGUUCUUUUCUGUUAUUUCAGAAUCCAGAAACUAAAGCUCUGGUGAAAAGCAUAAGCGUAGCAAGUGGCUAAUCAGUUGAACUGUCACAUCUCAAGCAAGAUGGACCAUCUAAUUAGUAUUGCAGGUAAACGAUAUUUUCAUAAAUUACUGAUGACUUGUCUCUAUCUGCAAGGAUUUCUGCAAGAGGAGUAGGCUUGUCUUGAUGUUCAGUUUAAGCUUUGCUCUCGUGAAAUUGGCAUAUGAUGUUGAUCCAAGGAGUAGGGUCAGACACUUCUCUUGGAUGAUUGAUCUUUCUACCUGUGCUGGUUACUAAUGCUAUGCCACAGAUCCGACAGAGCAAAUAAAUGCCUUUCGCCGCAGAUACAUCAAUGUGGUCAUCGGCUUUGGGAGGUUUAUGUGGCUUAUGGGAAUGAAGCUCCUGGGAAGAAGGUUGCAGAUCAAUUGAUGGAAGCUCAAUCCAGAGACUGAUAGGCGAGGGAAUUAUGAGCAGAGGGUUGUGAAGUAUCGGAUAGAGAGCGGGAGAGAAUUUGUGAAUACACAAAUGGAUGAUAAGGGACAACCCGGGGGCCGAGGAUUUUCGGUCCGAAACGGAACCCGUGUUCGGACUCAUCCAUCAAUUUACGCGGGCCAUGCCAGACCAGACGUGGUGCGUGUUUGCAGUGAAGUCGGACCCCACAGCACAUCACCCCCAUAAACCGGGGAAACGUGGCGAAAGGACACCACGAAAGAUGGAUGGAGUAAAUACUUUGCGAACGGAAUCCGUCCAUCUUUCAGUCGGGUCUCUUUUCAAAGGCACAUCACCGUCCAGUUCAGUCCAGUCCAGUCAGGUGUCAUUGAUGACGACGAUGGACCCCCCACGGCAAUGCCAACCGCACUUUCGUAUCCAAGGCUUAUCUCUCCCCGAGAAAAGUCGGGCUCUUCGAUGGCGACCGGCUCCUUUGGGAAUCAUCAUAGAAGCUCCGCACCCGCGAUAACGUGCUCCGCCCUUACCCCGCGGUGCAAGCCGGAGUAGCUAGCGCGGACGUUAAAGCGGAUCCAGGCUCUUCCUGAAGUCAAGGGGAGGUGGCAGUUCAGGUUUAGCAAAUCAACGAAAAGAAACCGAACGUACUUCGGAAGGCCUUCGCGAAUGAAUAGGACUGGUCUUCUUUUUUUUUUUUCCGGCGAUUCCGGUCUAGCAAAUCAACGAAAAGUAAACGAACGUACUUUGAAAGGCCUUC